GGCCUGGUUGGGCGGUCUGCCUCACGGUAUGUACUGUCUGACUGGGUCUUACCUCUUGGUGAGCCGGCAUGCUCUUAACUGGGUGUGUCGGGGAACCAGGACUUUUACUUUGAGAAAAUUAGAGUGUUUAAAGCAGGCAUAAGCUUGAAUACGUUAGCAUGGAAUAAUAGAAUAGGACUU
rnacentral:rRNA from 1 species